AUGAGGAGCCUGGGAGAGCAAAGCAGUGUGAGUUCUCCAAAUUGCACAGCUUAUGAGUGCCCUUCAGGGUUCUGUAAGUUGGCCCUGGACCAGGGACCAGGAAUGGUAUUUCUUCUCAUCUGCCUUAGGUAGAUUGAAUGGUAUGCGAAAAAAGUCCUGGUUGAGAAGUUGAGGCACAGGUUUUGCUCCAUAUUUGCUGAUAACUGCAUGUGAGAUUUUAGACUUUCUGCCUGUGUAAGUAAGUGAGAGUGUGCAUUCCUUAAUGUUUGAAUCAAGACACACGUCUGCAUGCAUUUCUAAUCUAAGAAGCCUAUAGCAGUUACUACAACUAUCAAUUAGUCAGCAAUAGCUGAGAACUUCAACGCCUCUGAAGGAACAAAGGUGGAAAGACAGGCAGAUACUCCAGCAUCUGGAUCAUGCAACUUGCUGGCUACAAAUAAUGGCACCUUCUCUGGCUUUUAUCUGUGUUUAGUCCUCAAAUCUAUGUAACAUUAUGGGUUAUUAAUGUAUCCAGCCACAUAAUUAGAUAUGGAGCAUCUAAGACAUAUAUGUUUCUUUGGCAUUAUUGGGA
rnacentral:lncRNA from 10 species